rfam:Loxodonta africana unplaced genomic scaffold scaffold_33, whole genome shotgun sequence.
UGGCAUAAUGGUUAAGUGCUAUGGCUUCUAACCAAAGGGUCGGCAGUUCGAAUCUGCC